rnacentral:lncRNA from 1 species
GGACAAGAUAUAGCUGAGUUUUGGGGAUCAAAAUCAGUGGAAGUGGAUGACAGUCAUGUAACCUGUACCAUUGUUUGCUCAGGCAGUACUGAUGGAUCUGGCCUCUCUUCGCAUAACACAUCAGUGGGUGUUUCCGUACUUGCAAACACAGCUAAUUCAAACAUCAGCCUGUCUGAGGGGACGCCAACACCUUCACAGGCACCAGACAGCGGCCUCACUUUGCUCGCCUUUGGUAGGUUUUAUACUGAUAAAAUCUCAUGAUACCCAUUAUUUCUGGUGCUAAAAUACUUCCUGUCUGCAAUUACAGGUGUGAUGAGUCUUAUACUCAUUUUAAUUGUUGUCAUGGUGGUCUUGGUGACUGCUAUCAACCUCAGGGGACAGUGUAGAGACACCAGACAGCACGAGGGUGGGUUUCUCUCUAAUUCUGUCAGUUUCAAGA